rnacentral:lncRNA from 1 species
GGUCAUUAUCUUCACAUGACUUUCUUCACACACUUCAAUAUGGUUUGAAGCCACAAAGUAAUGGGGUGGACACACCAUGAACUGAAGUCUUUGAAACUGUGCUUGCUCCUCUUCAGCUAUACUGAUCAUCUAUUUACAUACAGUGUUGAGCUCCUGGACUGGAGGAAGUGCUUAAUGAGACUGGGUAAAACUUUUCUUUUCCUUCCUUCUUGGGUGUUUUGGAAGAACAUUAUAAUAGAGCCUUGCCAGAGAAAAUACAUUUUUCUUCCUAAAACCUUCCUGAGGACCAGGAUAUUUCCUACAAGAGUUGGCUAAACGAACUCAGUGGAUACGAACAGGGAUGAAAACAGGGCGAUUCAAAAUUCGAGAUGGUUGAUUACAGACCGACCAAGAAUGGAGAAAAUCUCAGCACCAUUUUAGGAAGUAAAUUUAAUAGAGGAGAAGAUGUCCUAGGUAAUCAAUUGCCUGCCUUGAGAGCAUCAAGAUCUGAGUGUGAUCCCAAGAACCAACAUUUCAAAAGCCUGGCAUAGCAGACUACAUGGUAAUGUCCC